rnacentral:rRNA from 1 species
GACUUUCAAGAAGCUUGCUUUUUGAAAGUUAGCGGCGGACGGGUGAGUAACACGUGGGCAACCUGCCUGCAAGACGGGGAUAACUCCGGGAAACCGGGGCUAAUACCGGAUAAUAUCUUCCUUCGCAUGAAGGAAGGUUGAAAGGCGGCGCAAGCUGCCGCUUGCAGAUGGGCCCGCGGCGCAUUAGCUAGUUGGUGAGGUAACGGCUCACCAAGGCGACGAUGCGUAGCCGACCUGAGAGGGUGAUCGGCCACACUGGGACUGAGACACGGCCCAG